GGAGGCAUAUGCAAGAGGACUGCGAGAGCGCGAGUGGAUUUUGUUCGGAGAGGUGGCUGGUUGGCGCUGUUCCUGCUCGACAGCUCAAGCCAGGUACCGAAUAUUCUAAUUCUUGACUUGAUAUUCCAUAUACAUCCGUAAUCUGUAGACUUGAUGCUUAUGUUUGUGGAAUGAAACAAAUCGAUGCGUAUUUUUGUUGUAAAUUGCAGAAUUGGACAUGAAGAGGAACGGGACACUCCCUUCUCCUGAAACAUCAGCCUUUAACAUGAUUGCAUCUUCUGCAUUAGUGUAUUAGUGUUUCUUCGCUGUCCAUAACGUUGUAAAGAAAAUCUGAAAAUGUCUAGACGGAUUUUAUUCUUCACAUAUACAGUAUAUCUAAGCAUCGCAGCAUAGCUGGUACAAUCAUGAACCCAAUGUUCUAGUUGGAAUAGUGCAGAGUAUAUAUGCCAAUAACAUGUAAGACAGGUGGUC
rnacentral:lncRNA from 1 species